AAUCUGUUGUAGUCUGGUUGUCCUGUUGGAGGAAAUAUCUGAGCAGUACAAAGGACUGCAUUGGGUGUACAGAGAGCAUCCCCGAGGUUGCCUUAAUCACAGCUUGCAGCCUCUUGUUGUUUAUCAGUACAAGUAAAGGACCAAGAUGCUAGUGAGUGAGGUGCUUUCUAUCUUGUUCCUUGUUUCUGUUUGCCUGCCCUCACACAGCUGUGGUGAGAGGAAAAGGAUUCCAAGAUGUGAUGAACAGAUUUUUGACUCUUCCAAGGAUCUUCAGAUGAAAAUCAAACUCAGGUCCUCAUUUAGUUAUGUAAAUAGUAAUGCUGCAGAUUGUGUCUCUGAUGAACCUACAGCUAACCACUGAAGGAAUGAGUCCAGGUGAAUAUAAUUUAGGAAAUCCAAAAAGUCAGUCCAACCACUUCUCAGACAGAAAUGGU